rnacentral:snoRNA from 1 species
UGGCAAGAAAAAAAGGUAGUACUGAUACUGUCAACAUCACACCACAAUGCAUUCCCACAGGGCUUGCUGGAACAUUUGUGAAACAGUUUGAGGCCUUUCCCUGCUCUAUCCAGAGCAAGGUUAUAGAAAUUACAGACAAUU